UCUGGUUGAUAGGGAAAAUGUGAAGAUCUGGUUGAUAGAGAAGGAAAAUGUGAAGAUCUGGUUGACAGAGAGGGAAAAUGUGAAGAUUUGGUUGACAGGGAGGGAAAAUGUGAAGAUCUGUUUGAUAGGGAGGGAGAAUGUGAGGAUCUGGUUGAUGGAGAUGGAAAAUGUGAAGAUCUGGUUGACAGGGAGGGAAAAUAUGAAGAUCUGGUUGAUAGAGAGGGAAAAUGUGAAGAUCUGGUUGAUGGAGAUGGAAAAUGUGAAGAUCUGGUUGACAGRGAGGGAAAAUAUGAAGAUUUCAUUGAUAGAGAGGGAAAAUGUGAAGAUCUGGUUGAUAGGGAAAAUGUGAAGAUCUGGUUGAUGGAGAUGGAAAAUGUGAAGAUCUGGUUGACAGGGAGGGAAAAUAUGAAGAUCUGGUUGAUAGAGAGGGAAAAUAUGAAGAUCUGGUUGAAGAGGGGAAAAUGUGCAGAU